GGGGUUGUUUUCUAAUAUUGACUAAUAUACCACCAGGAGUGGAGCCUGUGACUUAAUUUGACUCGACAAGGGGAAACUUACCAGGUCCAGACAUAGUAAGGAUUGAAAAACUGAGAGCUCUUUCUUGAUUCUAUGGUGUUUGUGCAUGGCCAUUCUUAGUUGGUGGAGCGAUUUGUCUAGUUAAUUCUAUUAACGAACGAGACCUGAACCUGCUAACUAGCUAUGCGGAGGUAUCCCUCCGCAGCUAGCUUCUUAGAGGGACUAUAGCCUUCUAGGCCAAGGAAGUUUGCGGCAAUAACAGGUGUGAUGCCCUUAGAUGUUUUGGGCCGCACGCACGCUGCACAGAUGUAUUCAACGAGUCUAUAGCCUUGGCCGACAUGCCCAAGUAAUCUUUGAAAUUCAUCGUGAUGGGGAUAGAUCAUUGCAAUUGUUGGUCUUCAACGAGGAAUUCCUACGUGUCUGCCCUUUGUACACACCGCCUGUCGCUCCUACUGAUUGAAUAGUCCGGUGAGGUGUUCGGAUCGCGGUGGCGUGGUCAGUUCGCCGCCACUGACGUCGCAAGAAGUCCACUGUACCUUAUCAUUUAGAGGAAAGAGAAGUCAUAACAAGGUUUAUGUUGGUGAACUUGCAGGAG
rnacentral:ncRNA from 1 species